rnacentral:rRNA from 1 species
GAUGAACGCUGGCGGCGUGCCUAAUACAUGCAAGUCGAGCGAACAGACGAGGAGCUUGCUCCUCUGACGUUAGCGGCGGACGGGUGAGUAACACGUGGAUAACCUACCUAUAAGACUGGGAUAACUUCGGGAAACCGGAGCUAAUACCGGAUAAUAUUUUGAACCGCAUGGUUCAAUAGUGAAAGACGGUUUUGCUGUCACUUAUAGAUGGAUCCGCGCCGCAUUAGCUAGUUGGUAAGGUAACGGCUUACCAAGGCAACGAUGCGUAGCCGACCUGAGAGGGUGAUCGGCCACACUGGAACUGAGACACGGUCCAGACUCCUACGGGAGGCAGCAGUAGGGAAUCUUCCGCAAUGGGCGAAAGCCUGACGGAGCAACGCCGCGUGAGUGAUGAAGGUCUUCGGAUCGUAAAACUCUGUUAUUAGGGAAGAACAAACGUGUAAGUAACUAUGCACGUCUUGACGGUACCUAAUCAGAAAGCCACGGCUAACUACGUG